GACGAACGCUGGCGGCGUGCCUAAUACAUGCAAGUGGGACGCAAGGGAACACACUGUGCUUGCACACCGUGUUUUCUUGAGUCGCGAACGGGUGAGUAACGCGUAGGUAACCUGCCUAUUAGCGGGGGAUAACUAUUGGAAACGAUAGCUAAUACCGCAUAAUAUUAAUUAUUGCAUGAUAAUUGAUUGAAAGAUGCAAGCGCAUCACUAGUAGAUGGACCUGCGUUGUAUUAGCUAGUUGGUAAGGUAAGAGCUUACCAAGGCGACGAUACAUAGCCGACCUGAGAGGGUGAUCGGCCACACUGGGACUGAGACACGGCCCAGACUCCUACGGGAGGCAGCAGUAGGGAAUCUUCGGCAAUGGACGAAAGUCUGACCGAGCAACGCCGCGUGAGUGAAGAAGGUUUUCGGAUCGUAAAGCUCUGUUGUAAGUCAAGAACGUGUGUGAGAGUGGAAAGUUCACACAGUGACGGAGCUACCAGAAAGG
rnacentral:rRNA from 1 species